CCUGGAAGUCUGAAAUCAGAGUGCUAGUGUGGUUGGCUUCUAGUGAGGGCUCUUUUGCUGGCUUGCAGACAGCUGCCUGCUCAGUAAGUCUUCACAUGUUGAGGAAAGAGAGAAACAGAGAUAGCAAGCUCUCUGGUCUGUCUUUCUCCUUUUUUAUGAGACAAGGAUCUCGCUCUGUUGCCUACACUGGAUGCAAUAGCACCAUCCAGGCUCACUGCAACCUCUGCCUCCUGGUUUCAAGCGACUCUCCUGCCUCAGUCUCCCAAGUAGCUGGGACUACAGGAAAUACCUCUGAGUAACCGGAAGAAGAGGACAACUCACAUCAUAAGUCCUUUAUACCUUCCAUGAAGAAAAGCAGGAUGCAUGAUGCCUGAGCCCUGCCAGGCAACCACCAUGCCCCAUAGAGGUCAUGACCACAGGACUUAAUCUGGGAAGAAGAAGCAACAGGGCGAGCCUCACCUUACUUAUUGGAUGCCGGAAUAGAACAAAAGGCAGGGUAAAGAGAAUCCUCUCUCUCUCUGCUAGACUGUUUUUUGAGCUGGCACAUCCAUCUUCUUCUAAACUUAGACUGGAAUAUACACUGUUGGCUCUCCUGGUUCUCCAGCCUUCGAACUCAGACUGGAACUACAACAUCAGCUCUCCUCCAGGUGACGUAUGGCAGAUUAGAGGACAUCUCGGCUUUCAUAUCAUGUGAACAAAUUUCUUACAAAUAAAUGAAUCUCU